rnacentral:rRNA from 1 species
GACGAAGGGGGGCUAGCGUUGUUCGGAAUUACUGGGCGUAAAGCGCGUGUAGGCGGUUGUCCAAGUUGGAUGUGAAAGCCUUGAGCUUAACUCAAGAAAUGCAUUCAGGACUGGAUGACUAGAGGACCGGAGAGGAUAGUGGAAUUCCCAGUGUAGUGGUGAAAUACGUAGAGAUUGGGAAGAACACCAGUGGCGAAGGCGGCUAUCUGGACGG